GGCCUGUUAGCUUAGUUGGUUAGAGCGCCGUGCUAAUAAUGCGGAGGUCAUGAGUUCGAUCCUCUUACGGGCCA
rfam:Daphnia pulex DAPPTscaffold_287_Cont8311, whole genome shotgun sequence.